CCGCACCAGUGAUCCGGAAUUUGUUCAUGUUAGUUUUGUAUGUUGCAUUCAUUAAAACGUGGUUACAACGACAACACGUGUUAUCAUAUUUCUCACAUAACUUAGCCACACGGAGAUCUAACAACUGGCGACGAGGUGUAAGUACGAACCUACUAUCGUUUGUUUACCAUGCCACACAUCGUUGCUAAGGAAACAGCAGCGAGGGAUGCAGCUGAAGUACAGGGGGUGAAACCUGAGACAGUGCACAAGAUUAACUCACAACCCAAACCGCGUCAACCUCAGCCAUUCAGCAAGAAACCUACAGUGAGAAACACUUCAUCUUUUGCACGUCCAACAACCAAGAGAAACACAUGCUACCGCUGUGAUGGUGACCACCCAACCUCCCAGUGUCGACAUAUUAACUCCGUCUGUUCUUACUGUCAGAAGGAUGGACACAUUGAGCGAGCAUGCAUGAAGAAGAAGCGCAACAGAAACACGGGACGUAACACUUCCCUAUUCUACAAUGAAGAGGAGGAAUUUGAUUCUGAGGAAGAACACUACCAGGAGGGUGAAGGAGAACCACUUUUACACAUUACUAGUACCUUCCAUAUGAAGUCACAUCAUGAACCACCAAUAACAGUGCACCCAGUUAUUGAGGGCAAGGUCAUAAAGAUGGAAGUUGACACAGGGACAGCUGUUUCAGUGAUCUCAGAAAGUGAUUACAGUGCAAACUUCAACACGGCAAAACACUGCGGAAAUGAGAUUCGGGAGUUCUCUGAGGGUGACCCAGUAAACACACGCGAUUACCGCUGUAAUGCAGACAAGUGGACGAAAGGACAAAUCCAUUCUCGAACUGGACCCCUAUCUUACAAGGUGGACGUCAAUGGAACGCUAUGGAGAAGGCACGUUGACCAGAUAGUUGGAACUUCAAAUAAUCAAGCUGCUGACCCAACUCCUGUGGACAUCACUGCUGAAACUCUGUUUGAGUCAUCCGUGAAUGUACCAUGUCCUCCUGACAGUAAUAAGGAAUGCGUGAAGGACACCGCGAGCAGUACACCAACACCACGUCGAAAUCCACCGCGAGCCCGAAACAAACCGGACAAGUUGAACUUGUGAUUUUGUUUGUAACUUGGCAUAGUCAUGUUAAUUUACCAAGAUGAACUAAUGCUGAAUGUUUGGUUAUCCUGUAACAUUUAUAAUUGUGUUUUAUUGAUUAGAACUAGUUUGUGCUAUUACAUUUUCACUUUUGUUAAUAUGGUAACUCUUUAACCAGUCAGGGAGGAGUGUUGUGUAUUUGACUAUGUUCGUAUUAUUCCGGGAUUCGUUAAUCCGCACCAGUGAUCCGGAAUUUGUUCAUGUUAGUUUUGUAUGUUGCAUUCAUUAAAACGUGGUUACAACGACAACACGUGUUAUCAUAUUUCUCACAUAACUUAGCCACACGGAGAUCUAACAAUA
rnacentral:sRNA from 1 species